UACGGAGGGUGCGAGCGUUGUCCGGAAUCACUGGGCGUAAAGGGCGCGUAGGCGGCCUGAUAAGUAGGGGGUGAAAUCCUGCGGCUUAACCGCAGGGCUGCCUUCUAGACUGUCAGGCUAGAGCACAGUAGAGGCAGGUGGAAUUCCCGGUGUAGCGGUGGAAUGCGUAGAGAUCGGGAAGAACAUCAGUGGCGAAGGCGGCCUGCUGGGCUGACACUGACGCUGAUGCGCGAAAGCUAGGGGAGCGAACGGG
rnacentral:rRNA from 1 species